CAGUGAGGAAGGUGGGUAUGUUAAUAGCAUACUCAUUUGACGUUUAGCUGCAGAAGAAGCACCGGCUAACUCCGUGCCAGCAGCCGCGGUAAUACGGAGGGUGCGAGCGUUAAUCGGAAUUACUGGGCGUAAAAGCGCAUGCAGGUGGUUUGUUAAGUCAGAUGUGAAAGCCCGGGGCUCAACCUCGGAAUUGCAUUUGAAACUGGCAAACUAGAGUACUGUAGAGGGGGUAGAAUUUCAGGUGUAGCGGUGAAAUGCGUAGAGAUCUGAAGGAAUACCGGUGGCGAAGGCGGCCCCCUGGACAGAUACUGACACUCAGAUGCGAAAGCGUGGGGAGCAAACAGGAUUAGAUACCCUGGUAG
rnacentral:rRNA from 1 species